UCUCCCUCUUAUCUAAAUUAGGCAACACACAUGGAUAAGAUCCAUGUGGGCAUGCACCCUCAUCAUGGGCGAGAAAACCUGGGUGGUGCCAACAUUUGACGCCCUCUCAAACCUAAUCAGAUUAGGUUGUUUAGGGACUUGGGUUCACCAACUUUUGGCACCCAAUUGAGCUUGCUUCAAUUUGGUUAAACCCUAUCUAAUAGGAA
rnacentral:lncRNA from 1 species